UCUUGUAUUAUUUUAAUUUUAGUUUCUUGUGUACAAUUUGGAAAUUAGUAUGGCGUUCAUUAUUACUGAACUAGUAUAUAUUUGUUAAGGGGCCAGCUGAAGGACGCCUCCAGGUGCGGGAAUUUCUCGCUACAUUGAAGACCUGUUGGUGACCUUCUGCUGUUGUUUUUUUUUCUUUUUCUAUGGUCGGGUUGUUGUCUCUUUGGCACAUUCCCCAUUUCCAUUCUCAAUUUUAUUUGUAUUUGCACUAUAUUACAACCACAAAUAUUGUCACAUUUUCUGACAGCGUAUUAAUAAGUAUCCCUUCAUGUUUAGUUAGUUAGUAAGUAAGUAAGUAAGUAAGUAAGUAAGUAAGUAAGUAAAUAGUUUAUUAUAGUGUCACUUCAAUACUUGAUACUAUCGUAAAAUUCGUCACAGACACUUUUCUGUAGGAAUUAUCUUCGUUCUUGACGACAAAGACUGGUUGUAAGAACGAGAGAUGGUAUAUACUUGUAUCUUAUUGUUUUUUUCCUGCACAUUGACCUCAAAUUCUUAAUUGCAACACACAUUUAUUAAAACGGGACAAUAAUAGAAUUAGUCGGUUAAACAGACAUUCUGCCUUAAUAUUUUAUAUACAUUUAAGCAAUGUAUUCAUUAGUACCCAAACACACACACACAUAUAUAUAUAUAUAUAUAUAUAUAUAUAUAUGACGGAUUACAAAUAUGUCGAGGUUUGUGAUUGGAUAACAACACAGAGAUGUCAGUAUAUAUUCAGGAAACUGCCGGGGUAUAUACGACGUUUUUAUCCCCAAUUGAAACCUCAAAAACGUCAUCAUAACACCGGUUACUAUGUGACGUAGUCAAAAGCUAUCAGACUGUCAGAGGCUCACAGAGGGAAAAUAAUGACGUGCUUCAGUCAAUAAUACAUUUUUGAUACAAAAUCACGCAUUUUACACUUUUAAUACUUAAAUUUAAUGUUAAAAGUGUUAUUAUAAAUUAUUACAUACACGAUAAUCAUAAAAUUAUGUUCACAGCAAAUUAGAAAAUCCUUCACGUAUGCCGAACAUAUCAGGUUGGGUUUUUCAAUAUAUAUGUGUUGUCAACAAAUACCUGCACUGGAAAAUAACAUUAAGUCAGGGGUAAUCCGUAAUAUAUGUGUAAUUCAGGUCUCAGAAAGGGUAUAUUACUGUGACAUUCCCGGCUUAGCUAUAUCCCUUCGCCUUCGGCUCAGGGGAUAUAAACUCUAAGCCGGGAAUGUCACAGUAUAUACCCUGUCUGAGACCUGAAUAACAUAUAAUAUAUAUAGAGAUAUAGCUGCAUAUUUGGGUUCAAUACAUUGGCAAAUACAUAUAUAUAUAUAUUUAAGAGAACUCUCUCAUAGUGUGUUAUUUCAUAAUAUUUAAGGAGUCGUUUGACAUUCAGAUUUACGCAAUUUCAAUUCUUACACUAUCUCUCCUUUGAAAAAAACCCUUCAUAUAUGAACUUCUACAUUAUCCAUGGUCUUGUUUGAAGCCAUCUUCUGUUUUCAUUUUGCAGACAUCAAAGCUUCAGUGUUCACAUGCACAUCAGCUUCAGUUUUUGAUGAGUCAAUCAUCGAUGUUGUCGUUGUGUCGGGUCUGUUGCAUCUUGUCGUGUUAGUUGUCGAAGCCGACGACGGUGAUGGUUUGGCUUUUCUGAACAACUGAAGGACUCUUCUGUUACACAUGAAGGAAAUAAAAAUAAAAACCCCUUGCAGAGCGUUAAGCAGUGAGACAACGGAAGAGAUAGCGGACGCUGAAAACAGGGUAUCGAUUAUUUGGAAAAUCCAUGUUAUGCCCGUGAUUGUAAAUAAUUUUAUGUAAAUAGAAAAAUGUACACGAUUUAACGUUGAACUCUGUUCUUCUCUCUUAAUUUUCGGUGUUGAGAUUAUUUUUACUGACGUCACAAUAAAGAAAUAUAUAUUUGUCAAACAUACUAGCGUUAUUGGUAUUAUAAAUGUAACGAUAAUUGCUGUUGGUCGAUUUAAAAAACACAUGUGUCCCCCGUAUCCGAUAGAGUCAUCAUGUAAAUAAGUCGUUAUCAUAUUAGUUGACACUAUUAAAAUUGGCAGUCCAUAGGAAUAUAAAACAUACGAAACUAAGACUUUAUUGUGUCCCGACUGUCCGGAGGAAUAUAGUAAUAUCUUACUUCGAAAAACACGAAACAUAUGGAACGAGCACACACUUAAGCAACCGAAUUCUGCUAACCAAAAUAUAUGCAUAAAAAUACCAAUCAAUAUGCAUAUCGAAUUUGACUGAGUUGCGUAUAACCCAAACUGGAACAACAAGUGAGCGAAAAACAUGGCAAAAACUAAACACAUGUUAUUUUUUCCUGGAAGUGAUCGUAGAGUACUAAAUAAGCAAUAGGUAAUAAAAGUUAAAAAUAGGCAUAUUAAGGACAAACAUGUACAACUCAUCAUGAGUAUACCUAAAAGAGUGAUUGCUUGACUUUCGAAAUCUGGUUGACUUGGGAAAAUGUCUUUAAAAUCCUUGAGACAAAGUCUAGCUUUUUUGUCUGACAUCAAAAUGUAUUCAUUGUCAUAAUGCGUCACCGAUCCACUGAUAUUAAGUGUCAAUUUUUGAUUAUUUUUGUCAAUUUGGAAUUCACUCUCAUCGAUUUCUACUUGUUCA
rnacentral:lncRNA from 1 species